GCCCUGUUCUCGUUCAUAUAUUACGGGCAUGGCGCUGUUUAUGAUGAUUUUCCACAUUUCACGACGGUCAACUGUGUCCUGGCCUGUUAAGCCGGGACGUU
rnacentral:snRNA from 1 species